CUUACCUCAGCAGAAGAAUCGAAAUAACUCGUGAACACUUUCGAGCAAUUUUUUACAACUUUCGACUUGGGUUAUUACGACAAGAGUGCAUCGAUGAACUUAAAUCUUUGUAAGGCGAUGAAGUGCCAUCAUAUAGCCCUGUGAAAAACUGGUUUAAUGGAUUCUAUCGUGACCGAUGCUCGCUGGAAGACGAAGGUCGUCCAAAAAUAGACGUUGUGCCAGAAAACCAUGAUGCAAGAUCGUCAUGUGAUAUAUCGUGAGAUAGAGGCAUCCUUUCACAUUUCUUCCACCAGAAUAAUUCGAUAUUGGAUGAACAUCUGGUCGUAAAAAAGGUUUGUUCUCGUUGGAUCCCGCACAAUUUGAGAAUUGCUCAAAAAAGCCUUGUGUGGAUUGGUUCAAAUAAAUUUUGAAAAAAUACAUACACUAAGCAGAAAAAGUUUGCGUACAAACUUAACGCGCAACUUUGAUGUUAAAUAAAAAUAGUUAUAUUCAUGAUAUUGACUUAAUUUUUUUUUUAAAUUAACGACAUAUCUAUUAUGAAAAAAUAUAACCAGUCUUCAAUUAUUUCCAUCAGCAACUUUUUCAAUUAAAAUCAAAAAAUAAAAAAUACACCUGUUUUCGAAUCAGAAAAAGUCUGCGUACAAACUUAAAUUAGUUUAAAAAAAGCCAUUUAUUGAUAAAACAUUACAAAAAUUAGUACGAGGUAGGAUAAAUAGGAAGGUUUAUUGUGCCAAUCAAGCGUUUUGGCAUUGAUUAAACCAAUUUUUGGUGAAUUCUGGUGGUAUUUCGAUCCACUCAUCCAAAAUUGCUCCCGAGGGAGGAAACCGUUCGUCAAACUGGACCAAAUAGGGAAAUCUCAGCGGGAAAUUGUCGAAUUUGUUUUUAAAACGCAUUCAAUGAUUAAAAAAGUCCAAAAAAAUUGGAAUCAAACCGGCACAGUUCAAUCAAAGCCACAUUCUGGUAGGCCUCCAAAGCUGACCGAUCGAGAAGAGCGGGAGGUUUUGAAGUUGGUGAGGCGUAAUCCUGGGUCAACUGCCGCAAAAAUUGGUCAGGACAUAAAGGAGAACUAUAAGAAGGAUUUACAUGAUAAAACAAUCCGAAAAAUUUCCAAAAAGUAGGACUUUCAUGCCUGUGUUGCUCACGCUGCCACCACCGUACUUAACUGUUGGCGCAAGGUUAUGCACAUCAAGGGCUGUGCCAGGUUUGCGCCACUCAAAUUUUUGCCCUUUUAUGUCAAAUUGCUCCAAUAAUUGAAAAUAACUUUGUUCCAAAAGGCUAAAGGCUCUUGGAUGAAUUUUUUGCAAAAUCAAAGCGCUUUGCUUUACUGACGGGUGAUAUGAGAAUCUUCUUCCGCGCAACACAGGCAAACCUUAUGUACCCCAUAGUGCAAUCUUUAAGCUUCACGGCGCGAGCUAGGAAUUCAUUUUAGACACAUGGUUUCAUGGUGAAAUUUUCUUAGAAUUCUUCGUAGAUUCCGAUUAUGGGGGACGAUUUUCAUGAUUUUUUGGACAGGAACAAAUUGACCCGCCCUAGUAUACAUAGUCUUCCAAAAAUGAAAAUUGAUAGAAUAAAUAUUAACAUAUUAAUGUCCAAUCUGAACCUCUCCAUUGUGAGAAACCUGCUACCGUUUUAAAAAAACUGCAAGCGCCAUGCUCAUUUGAGCUUGUAUCAAAUGAUGCUCUCCCCAUUUAACAGAAUGUUACCUAACAUACUUUCCGUUUACUUUAAACUAAACAUUGUUUCUACAAAAAAUCUAUGUAACAGGCAAAAAGAAGUAUUGUAUUUGCGAUCCCAUAUACUACAUAUAUAUAUUCCUAAUCAGUGACAACUUCUAUAAAGAUAUACAUACAUAGCUACCCCGCAGAACUUGAGGUGUCGAUUUGCCAUGGGUAAAUGCUUACCUCGCCGAUCACUACAUGUGUACUUACUAAAGUGACCCUAUAGUAAACGAACGUCGAACCACCUAGUUAUUAAAUAUAUGCGUAUUAAAGCAUAAGUACAAAAUAACGGCAAGCAUCGCUUUCGUUUUUGUUAUUUUGUGGAAAGGGCAUACUAGAGGUGGGCCCGGGCACGCACGAAAACAAACUCUUUUUUGAGAGGCCCGGCCCGGCCGAACACGAAACAUUUUCAUCAAGGCCCGGGCCCGGCCCGGCACGAAACUUAUUUACACAUAUAAGAAAACAUUAUUGCCAUUAUAAUUAACGCAAUCGAAAAGCUUCCACACUUCACUCCUGCCCUUUUCAUUUUGUAUAAAUUUUACACAUUCACUUUUUUUAUUUACAGCGUCCUGAAUUGUUUGUCGCGACAUUUUUAUUUUUCACAUAUUUGCUAAUUUCACAAUAAGCCGCCAAUUUUGAAUUAGUGGUGUGCAAACAAAUAAAAUAUUGUAUAAGCAAAUUAAUAGUAGCAUCGAUAAGCAAUGCGACAAAUGGCGGUUCUAAUUCGAUCAAAUCAAAAUUUUUUUCGGGCCUAUUUCGGGUUUUUACGGGCCGGGCCUUUUUGCUAAGGCCCGGGCCCGCACGAAGCCCGUACGAAUCUUAAUUUUAAGGCCCGGGCCCGCCCGAACCCGCUCCGGGCCUGUGUAAGCCCGCGGGCCACGAAAAAAAGCCCGGCCCGUGCCCACCUCUAGGGCAUACACAAGAUUAAAGACAAAAUUUCGAUUACGUUUUCAUCGCUGUUUACGCGUCUUUGUUUUAUUUUGUGCUAUUCUUUUGCUUAAACGCAGCUGUUUGCUGGCUGAUGAAAUUUUUGCAAGCAUUUGAGUUCAGAAGUGCAAAGCGGAUCCGCGGUCAAUUAUUAGUUAGCAUAGUUAGCACAGUGGAAAGCGAAAAUGUGCCUAAAGAAGAGGAAGUGGAAAUUAUGACAGAAAAUCUACGUUAUGGAAAUAAUGACAGGGGAAUGCGGUCCUAAAAAAAGUGUAAAUUUCUUUGGUGUUAUGAUUGAUUCAAUAACUGAGGACCAGUUGAGAAAGGCCUUGUAGCUCCAAAAAACAAACGAUAUUUUCAACUAAAGUUGCCUUAAAGUAAUAAAAGUUUCCGACUUAUUAAUAUAAGAAAAAUUAAAAUUAAAUAAAAACUGUAAUUGUAAUUGUAAAUGUUUUUAAAUUUAUAAUGACCGACCCCUCCG